rnacentral:lncRNA from 1 species
GGCAGCCCUGCUGCCCCGUGGACGUGUGACCCUGCCAUAUAGAAAGAGGAAUGGGGCGGGUUCAGGAGGCCGGCUGCAGGUGUCUGUCCUUGAUUUUUCCCAGUAGGAACAUCCUAGUGUUUGAAGGAAUUGCAGGAAAUUAAUUUAGUAGAUGACACAGCAUUUUAAAACAUGUGAACUAGUCUGUAUGAAAACAACCACAUUGCUGGGAAUCUAAACCCUGACGGGUCUGGGUCUGGAGUUACGGAAGUCCCACUCAGAACACAGAGGGCUUCUGGUGCAGCAUGGCAUGAAGCCGAGGGAGAGAUGAAGCAACCGAGCAGUCCCAUCAAAGAUGCUGUCCAUGCAGCCUGGAAUCCGGGGUGAAAAGUGCUAAUCAUUAAAGAAAAUGCUCCAACAUGACAGCGUGAUCGGUGACAGGCAUUAGCACCACGGGUGAAUUUCCAGGAGUCGCUGUAAUACAGUUUGUGCUUGAAAAGCCUCUGCCCCUGGAUGUGGCAUAAGGAUGGAAAGGACCCCGGAUCUGCACCUGUGUGGGGCGACCUGGGACAUCUCGCAACUUGUUUUGUUCGCCUUCCGUGGAGUCGGAAGUCAGUCCUCUCAAUGGAGGCAAGUAGAGAGGCUCAGAGAUUUUGCAAACCAGCAGGAGACCUUAACCAGCACUCUGACAAAUGCAAGUUGCGUGGCCUGGAAAAUGGAAAUCACAGUCGUACCUAUGUCCUGAGGAUUUAUAAAUUUUAAAUAAAAAUUGUGUCUGGGGGUGCCUGGGUGGCUCAGUCAACCGGUUAAGUGCUGAGUCUUGGUUUUGG